rnacentral:rRNA from 1 species
CAGACGAGGAGCUUGCUCCUCUGACGUUAGCGGCGGACGGGUGAGUAACACGUGGAUAACCUACCUAUAAGACUGGGAUAACUUCGGGAAACCGGAGCUAAUACCGGAUAAUAUAUUGAACCGCAUGGUUCAAUAGUGAAAGACGGUUUUGCUGUCACUUAUAGAUGGAUCCGCGCCGCAUUAGCUAGUUGGUAAGGUAACGGCUUACCAAGGCGACGAUGCGUAGCCGACCUGAGAGGGUGAUCGGCCACACUGGAACUGAGACACGGUCCAGACUCCUACGGGAGGCAGCAGUAGGGAAUCUUCCGCAAUGGGCGAAAGCCUGACGGAGCAACGCCGCGUGAGUGAUGAAGGUCUUCGGAUCGUAAAACUCUGUUAUUAGGGAAGAACAAAUGUGUAAGUAACUAUGCACGUCUUGACGGUACCUAAUCAGAAAGCCACGGCUAACUACGUGCCAGCAGCCGCGGUAAUACGUAGGUGGCAAGCGUUAUCCGGAAUUAUUGGGCGUAAAGCGCGCGUAGGCGGUUUUUUAAGUCUGAUGUGAAAGCCCACGGCUCAACCGUGGAGGGUCAUUGGAAACUGGAAAACUUGAGUGCAGAAGAGGAAAGUGGAAUUCCAUGUGUAGCGGUGAAAUGCGCAGAGAUAUGGAGGAACACCAGUGGCGA